rnacentral:rRNA from 1 species
AGUGAACGCUGGCGGUAGGCCUAACACAUGCAAGUCGAACGGCAGCACAGUAAGAGCUUGCUCUUACGGGUGGCGAGUGGCGGACGGGUGAGGAAUACAUCGGAAUCUACUUUUUCGUGGGGGAUAACGUAGGGAGACUUACGCUAAUACCGCAUACGACCUACGGGUGAAAGCAGGGGAUCUUCGGACCUUGCGCGAUUGAAUGAGCCGAUGUCGGAUUAGCUAGUUGGCGGGGUAAAGGCCCACCAAGGCGACGAUCCGUAGCUGGUCUGAGGGGAUGAUCAGCCACACUGGAACUGAGACACGGUCCAGACUCCUACGGGAGGCAGCAGUGGGGAAUAUUGGACAAUGGGCGCAAGCCUGAUCCAGCCAUACCGCGUGGGUGAAGAAGGCCUUCGGGUUGUAAAGCCCUUUUGUUGGGAAAGAAAAGCAGCAGGUUAAUACCCCGCUGUUCUGACGGUACCCAAAGAAUAAGCACCGGCUAACUUCGUG